UACGAAGGACCCGAGCGUUAUCCGGAUUUACUGGGUUUAAAGGGUGCGUAGGUGGGUAAGUAAGUCAGUGGUGAAAUCUUCGAGCUUAACUCGGAAACUGCCAUUGAUACUAUUUAUCUUGAAUACUUUGGAGGUAAGCGGAAUAUGUCAUGUAGCGGUGAAAUGCUUAGAUAUGACAUAGAACACCAAUUGCGAAGGCAGCUUACUACACAGUUAUUGACACUGAGGCACGAAAGCGUGGGGAUCAAACAGG
rnacentral:rRNA from 1 species